rnacentral:misc_RNA from 1 species
GAUGAAGAACGUAGCGAAAUGCGAUAAGUAAUGUGAAUUGCAGAAUUCAGUGAAUCAUCGAAUCUUUGAACGCACAUUGCGCCCGCCAGUAUUCUGGCGGGCAUGCCUGUCCGAGCGUCAUUUCAACCCUCGCGCCCAUCUGGGCUGCGGUGUUGGGGACCGGCCUGCCCCCCGGGGCGCGCCGCCCCCCAAAUUCAGUGGCGGUCUCGCUGCAGCCUCCCUUGCAUAGUAGCACACCUCGCACCGGAGCGCAGCGCGGCCACGCCGUAAAACCCCCGACCCCCAUGAGUUUGACCUCGGAUCAGGUAGGAAUACCCGCUGAACUUAAGCAUAUCAAUAAGCGGAGGA